rnacentral:rRNA from 1 species
UGGGGAAUAUUGCACAAUGGGCGCAAGCCUGAUGCAGCCAUGCCGCGUGUAUGAAGAAGGCCUUCGGGUUGUAAAGUACUUUCAGCGGGGAGGAAGGGAGUAAAGUUAAUACCUUUGCUCAUUGACGUUACCCGCAGAAGAAGCACCGGCUAACUCCGUGCCAGCAGCCGCGGUAAUACGGAGGGUGCAAGCGUUAAUCGGAAUUACUGGGCGUAAAGCGCACGCAGGCGGUCUGUCAAGUCGGAUGUGAAAUCCCCGGGCUCAACCUGGGAACUGCAUUCGAAACUGGCAGGCUAGAGUCUUGUAGAGGGGGGUAGAAUUCCAUGUGUAGCGGUGAAAUGCGUAGAGAUGUGGAGGAAUACCGGUGGCGAAGGCGGCCCCCUGGACAAAGACUGACGCUCAGGUGCGAAAGCGUGGGGAGCAAACAGG